AAGCGCUAGCAGUCUAGAGGUUUUUGAUAAGAACAUAGCACAGUCAAAAGAUUGUCAUCGUAAUGCAACCAUUCAUAUCUAUAGCCAUAAUCAAAAGUAUCAUAGUCUUCAUAAACUAUCAACAUAAAUAUUUACCUACGUUUACGAGGUUAGUAUAGUUUUAUUGUGUGAUUAAAUUUUUAAUACUUGUCGGUUAAAUUGUCUACUGUACUGUUUUAACUUUUAAUUGUGGUUUUCUUAUUGUAACAAUGACAAGAAUAUGUGUUGUUUGUAAAAAAUUGUAUACUAAGGGAUCAGAGAAAUCAUUUCAUUUUUUUCCUAAAAAUGAAGAUCGUAAACAAUUUUGGUUAAAAGUGUGUAAUAUGAAAUUGUACUUGCCAUCUUACAAGAUAUGUGAUGGUCAUUUUUUGCCGGAACAUUACCUACCAAGUGAAUAUCUCUAAAAUAAUGCUAUUCCUAGCAUCUACUAGUAUAGUUAUUGAACCUUUGGACAAUCAUGAUAUGUCUAGUCCUUGUCAAAGUCCAAUGAAACGUAAGGUGUUGAAUGCCAACUCAAUUGGAGUUUUUAUCACCAAGUCAUUUUAGAACUCUGAGAAAGGCAAAGAGACAUUUGGACAUGGUGAUGAACAAAUAUAGAGAAAAGCAAAUACAAAAUGAAAAAUCUGAAAAACAAAUAAAAAAGGCUGAAAAAAAAACUCAAUGAUGAUUUUGUUCAAACAUGACACCGAAAACAAUUUUUAACUGACAAUGCAUCUGUUCACUUUCAGAUAACCGUUAAUAAAAUCUAAUAAUCACUGAUGAAGGAAACAAUUUAUAUUGUUUGGUCACAUAGGAACUCACACAUAGUUGUGAAAAUGUAGCACAAAACGUGUGAUCUAUUUUGUGGGCUGUCAGAGACAAGGGAUGGCCCAAUAAGCAUCUCUGUUGUCGGGGAGAAAGCCAAUUUUUUUAAGGACGCGGAGACCUUUGAUGGAGCCACCUGCGACACUGGCAGGCUUGACCACGUCAUCUCCUCUUAUCAGUGCAGGUGCACCGCUCUUUCAAGAGUGCACAGAUAGUAUAAGCUAUAACAUGUAUAUUUUAUUUUAAAAAUACUAUAUGUAUUUUAUAAAUAAUUAUUUAUAUACAUCUUGUAUUGUACUAUCAUAUAAUGUUUACUGUGUUUUAAUAAAUUGUGAAAUUUUACCUACAAUAAUAAAUGUUAAAUAAUUUUAA
rnacentral:lncRNA from 1 species